GCUGAAGGUAUUUUGUGUUGUCAAUUGUUCAAUUGUCCCAAACAAAUCCAGGGGGGGGCGGUGGACUACUGAGUAGUUUCUCAAAAUCAUGUGAGAGAAUCUAUCGUACAACAACUACUGUCAUCUUCCAUACAGUGUACAGGAUAAACAUAAGAGGAAAUCAAAUGUAUUGGACUAUACAUUUCGGUAAACGGUCAUCACCACAUUCUGGAACAGUCAACCCUAGUUCGGAUGACAUUUCCUGUUUCCUGUGUGUAGGAGUCUGCUAUGGGAGGAGCAGUCCGCAAUAGGAGGGCUGCCCCCUCCACCCCCCCCCCCCGCCAGCGAACACAUACCUCCAUCCUCAUCAUCAUCAUCCUCCUCAACGUAGUCGUCAUCGUCCUCUUCGUCCUGGGAUCGGGGCAGAGACACAUCAGAGGGUUAACUUUACCAUCACGCUCUGAAGACAAAAACUGACCACUGAUCAGCCUCUUGUGUCACGGCUGGAGUUCAGACCGAAGGAAAGUAUCACGACUUCUUGUCACAAACUAAUGAAAUAGUAGAACACAUUUGCAUAUUGGUAGUGAUCGUUACAUCGCUAUUUUCCGUCUCGAUUAAAAAUCAGACACAGCCCAGGAUCAAUCUACUGGUCGGCCCCAUGACAUCACUUCCUGUCCCCCUAAGGGGCCAAUCGCGGCACAGCGAUGCUCGGCCACUCACCUGAAUGCCGUCCUUCAUCAGGUAAGACAGGCCGACGUCGUCGCCGUCUGACCCCUCGUCAUCCUCAUCAUCGUCAUCAUCGUCGUCGUCCCCGUCCCCCGUGGGACCGGCCUCAUCAUCGUCUACAAACAAACACAGUAAAGGUCACCGUCGUCCUCUAAACACACUUUAGUUAUUUACUUUAGCUAAACCGAAAUACACGCUCUGCCGAAGACAAACCCAACGACGUCUCCAGCGGAAGUGUACUUAAUGUACACUUAAUGUACGCACUUAUUUAUUGUAUGCUGUACGUCCUUGCACUUAAAAAUAGUACUUAGCAUCGUGGAGCAUCUUACCAUAACUAUCCUUGUUGUGCACGUGAAUGGGUUACCCUAGUGAUUGGCACUCGGUUCUAUGAACACCCUUACUAUACCGACAGAUAUACUGUUGUUUCUCUUUCUUCUGACAAAUGUUCUAUUGUGAGUCGCUUUGGAUGAAAGAGUGUCAACGCUCUCAAUGUCAACGUAAGGCUGUGUGGUCCAGUAGGACCCCUGUCUGGUCCAGUAGGACCCCGGUCUGGACCCGGCCCCACGCGGUCUGGUC
ensembl:lncRNA